CACAGACAGAAAGAGACAUUUCACCAAAGAAGGUGCACAGAUGGUAGAUAAGCUCAGGAGAAAUGCCUGUCAUUACAGAAGCAAAAACCACCAUGACACCACUGCACACCAUCCGGUGCCAUCACUGCACACCCAUCCCGUGACAUCACACACCCAACCCGUGACACCACUCACACCCAUCCGGUGACACCACUGCACACCCAUCCCGUGACACCAGACACCACUGCACACCCAUCCCGUGACACAUCACACACCCAUCCCGUGACACCAGACACCACUGCACACCCAUCCCGUGACACCACUGCACACCCAUCAAAACGGCUGGAAUAAAAGUAGCAACAACCCCACAUGCCGGCAAAGAUACCGAGAAAUCGAGUCACUCGGCCGUUGCUGGGAGGGUAAAAUGGCUCCUCAAAAACGACACCCGAAGUUGCAGUGGACUCAGCAGCUGCUUCCAUGGACGUUUAAGCCAGAGAGUUGAAACCCAGGUUCACGCAGAAACCCGUGCAGAGGUUUACGGCAGCUGUAAUAGACAAAAACUGCAAAGAGCUCAGCUGUCCUUCCACAAGAGAGCGACCGCACAAACUAGGGUGCGCUCACGCCGCAGACGCUGGUCAGCGACGAGGAGGAAGGAAGCCUCCAUCACACGACCUGGCGGAACCUGAGAAUCGGCAUGAGAAUCGCCUGCCCCGCUG
rnacentral:lncRNA from 1 species